rnacentral:rRNA from 1 species
GAUUGAACGCUGGCGGCAUGCCUUACACAUGCAAGUCGAACGGCAGCACGGGUGCUUGCACCUGGUGGCGAGUGGCGAACGGGUGAGUAAUACAUCGGAACAUGUCCUGUAGUGGGGGAUAGCCCGGCGAAAGCCGGAUUAAUACCGCAUACGAUCUACGGAUGAAAGCGGGGGACCUUCGGGCCUCGCGCUAUAGGGUUGGCCGAUGGCUGAUUAGCUAGUUGGUGGGGUAAAGGCCUACCAAGGCGACGAUCAGUAGCUGGUCUGAGAGGACGACCAGCCACACUGGGACUGAGACACGGCCCAGACUCCUACGGGAGGCAGCAGUGGGGAAUUUUGGACAAUGGGCGAAAGCCUGAUCCAGCAAUGCCGCGUGUGUGAAGAAGGCCUUCGGGUUGUAAAGCACUUUUGUCCGGAAAGAAAUCCUUGGCUCUAAUACAGUCGGGGGAUGACGGUACCGGAAGAAUAAGCACCGGCUAACUACGUGCCAGCAGCCGCGGUAAUACGUAGGGUGCGAGCGUUAAUCGGAAUUACUGGGCGUAAAGCGUGCGCAGGCGGUUUGCUAAGACCGAUGUGAAAUCCCCGGGCUCAACCUGGGAACUGCAUUGGUGACUGGCAGGCUAGAGUAUGGCAGAGGGGGGUAGAAUUCCACGUGUAGCAGUGAAAUGCGUAGAGAUGUGGAGGAAUACCGAUGGCGAAGGCAGCCCCUGGGCCAAUACUGACGCUCAUGCACGAAAGCGUGGGGAGCAAACAGGAUUGGAUACCCUGGUAGUCCACGCCCUAAACGAUGUCAACUAGUUGUUGGGGAUUCAUUUCCUUAGUAACGUAGCUAACGCGUGAAGUUGACCGCCUGGGGAGUACGGUCGCAAGAUUAAAACUCAAAGGAAUUGACGGGGACCCGCACAAGCGGUGGAUGAUGUGGAUUAAUUCGAUGCAACGCGAAAAACCUUACCUACCCUUGACAUGGUCGGAAUCCCGCUGAGAGGUGGGAGUGCUCGAAAGAGAACCGGCGCACAGGUGCUGCAUGGCUGUCGUCAGCUCGUGUCGUGAGAUGUUGGGUUAAGUCCCGCAACGAGCGCAACCCUUGUCCUUAGUUGCUACGCAAGAGCACUCUAAGGAGACUGCCGGUGACAAACCGGAGGAAGGUGGGGAUGACGUCAAGUCCUCAUGGCCCUUAUGGGUAGGGCUUCACACGUCAUACAAUGGUCGGAACAGAGGGUUGCCAACCCGCGAGGGGGAGCUAAUCCCAGAAAACCGAUCGUAGUCCGGAUUGCACUCUGCAACUCGAGUGCAUGAAGCUGGAAUCGCUAGUAAUCGCGGAUCAGCAUGCCGCGGUGAAUACGUUCCCGGGUCUUGUACACACCGC